rnacentral:rRNA from 1 species
GAUGAACGCUAGCUACAGGCUUAACACAUGCAAGUCGAGGGGCAGCAUGAACUUAGCUUGCUAAGUUUGAUGGCGACCGGCGCACGGGUGAGUAACACGUAUCCAACCUGCCGAUGACUCGGGGAUAGCCUUUCGAAAGAAAGAUUAAUACCCGAUGGCAUAGUUCUUCCGCAUGGUAGAACUAUUAAAGAAUUUCGGUCAUCGAUGGGGAUGCGUCCCAUUAGGUUGUUGGCGGGGUAACGGCCCACCAAGCCUUCGAUGGAUAGGGGUUCUGAGAGGAAGGUCCCCCACAUUGGAACUGAGACACGGUCCAAACUCCUACGGGAGGCAGCAGUGAGGAAUAUUGGUCAAUGGACGAGAGUCUGAACCAGCCAAGUAGCGUGAAGGAUGACUGCCCUAUGGGUUGUAAACUUCUUUUAUACGGGAAUAAAGUGAGGCACGUGUGC